rnacentral:rRNA from 1 species
CCCCGAUGGAAGUUCUACCUAGAAGAUGUUGGCUAUGCAUGUCGACCUGGUGUUCUUCAACACUUUAGGGAAACAAGGUACCAUCUAAAUGAGUUCUCUUGUAGGAACUAUCAUAGGACUGCACAUCAAUUGUUUAAUCUCAGACGUUCUAAGCUUAGGGUUAUGGUUGAGAGGGCAUUUGGAGAUCUGAAGAGUAGAUUUAAGAUCCUGGAUGAGAAGCCAUUCCACCCUUUCCUUACCCAGGUUAAACUUGUUCUUGCAUGUUGUAUCCUUCAUAACUGGAUCCUACAAUGGGGUUGUGAUGACCUUAUGUUGGAGGUGGAAGAGGUGACACUUGAUGAUUUUUUUAGCUCCGGCCAUGGUGUGGAGUCAUUUGACAACAGAGACUGAAAGAACAAAUGGAUGAAGUGGGCUCAGGCGAUAUGGAAAAACAGAGGUUAG